AAGACUAUACUUUCAGGGAUCAUUUCUAUAGUAACUAACUUGGAAAUGUGAUUUGAAAGCGAUAUGUCUCCCUAAUCACGAUGAUGAGCUGUGAUGUUCUCUUCUGAAUUGGAUAUGAGCUAAUGAUUCUCUCAUGGGCUUUGAUCAUUGAUGAACGUUCUCUGCUUCUUUUGAGGUUUGAGAGGAAGAGUACAUGAUCAGAGUGAU